GUUUAAACCCCUGAUUCAGCCCAAAGAACUUGGACCAGUACUAGUCUUAGUUCAUGUGAACUAAACUAUCCACCCCAACUUGGACAUGCCCUCUUAUCUACAUGGCCAAGAGAGAGGGGCAACAGUCUGCUGGACAUACUGACCACACUGCAGUGGACUAGAGUUGCUUAUGGGGCAACAGUCUGCUGGACAUACUGACCACACUGCAGUGGACUAGAGUUGCUUAUGGGGCAACAGUCUGCUGGACAUACUGACCACACUGCAGUGGACUAGAGUUGCUUAUGGGGAACUGUGAUGGGGCCAAUGGGGUGGGGAGGAGCAGGAGUCUUAAUGCCCACCAUGUUAAUGCCCACAGCAGGAGUCUUAAUGCCCACCAUGUUAAUGCCCACAGCAGGAGUCUUAACGCCCGCCAUGUUAAUGUCCAGAGCAGGAGUCUUAACGCCCGCCAUGUUAAUGUCCAGAGCAGGAGUCUUAACGCCCGCCAUGUUAAUGUCCAGGAGUCUUAACGCCCGCCAUGUUAAUGUCGUGUCUUAAUGCCCGCCAUGUUAAUAUCCAGAGCAGGAGUUUGUAGCCGAACUGCUGAACUUUAACAUGCUGAACAUGGGGUGACUUAGAAUACCCAGAAGGACCACAUGCUAACCAGGCAUGGGGUGACUUAGAAUACCCAGAAGGACCGCAUGCUAACCAGGCAUGGGGUGACUAACCCCACAAUGGGCAGACUCAUGGGAUGCUCUGAAAAUGUAUUAAAAUAUAACGAAAUAAAUGUAAAUAAAUUUUGUUAAACUGGUA